UUCUGACCGUAAACGAUGCCAACUAGCGAUCCGCCGGUGGCUACAAGGCCCUGGUGGGGAGCUUCCCGGAAACGAAAGUCUUCCGGUUCCGGGGGAAGUAUGGUUGCAAAGCUGAAACUUAAAGGAAUUGACGGAAGGGCACCACCAGGAGUGGAGCCUGCGGCUUAAUUUGACUCAACACGGGAAAACUCACCCGGCCCGGACACCGUGAGGAUUGACAGAUUGAUAGCUUUUUCAUGAUUCGGUGGUUGGUGGUGCAUGGCCGUUCUUAGUUCGUGGAUCGAUUUGUCUGGUUUAUUCCGAUAACGAGCGAGACUCCAGCCUACUAACUAGUACGGGCAUUGCCUCUGUGCCCGGCACUUCUUAGAGGGAUUGGCUGCGUCUAGCGGCACGAAACGGAGCAAUAACAGGUCUGUGAUGCCCUUAGAUGUCCGGGGCUGCACGCGCGCUACACUGGCAAAGGCAGCGUGCUUGUCCGUCUCCGAAAGGAGCCAGUAAACCCUUGAAAAUUUGCCGUGAUUGGGAUCGGAAAUUGCAAUUAUUUUCCGUGAACGAGGAAUUCCUAGUAAGUGCGAGUCAUCAGCUCGCGUUG
rnacentral:rRNA from 1 species